AACAGGUAUACAUAAAAUGAAAUCUAAAAUCCAGAUGAAUGUUUUGUAAGUCUCACAUUUCCUGUCUCACUCCAGCACCAAGCAGAUUUCCAAUUUACAUUUUGUCAGUUGUUCCAGGUUGUAAAUAUAACUGCCUACAUUAGGCUGUCCUUAUGUUCUCCCCACUUUGAAGUGCCCAGCUGGUAAUCAGAGACAUGCCAUACAUAAAUGGCCAAAAGAAUCUUGCUUGAAUGCAUUCAGAUGCACAUGUGUUCAGAAGAGAGGAAACCUGAGACAAUACCAGAGAGUGGAGUCGCAUGUAGGUGUUGAACUUUUCCAUCGUGUUCUGGAGAGUCCACAGAUUAGGAGCAAGAGCCCCUGUAAAAUGAGUGAAGGAGAAAUCAGGCUUUAUAGGGGAUUUUUCAUGAAGUUUAAGGCUUUGACUGAGACCAACAGCAGGCUUUUUUAGAUACUGGCGCACAUUUUAGAGGUAAAUGUGGUAUUUCUUACUGGGUGGUGGGGGCUGAUUUUGGCUCUGAAUAGACAAGAGAAUCCUGUUCAGAACCUGGAAUAAAGGGGAAAAGGCAAUGAUGUGCUUAGAAUUUGAGACAUCUUCUGGAAAGCUAGACUUGGGGCCUUUGGAGAAGGCAGCCUUGGUAUUGAGAAGUCUAUGAUUGGUGAGAUUUUAGGUUUUUCCGAUUAAACAAAAACCUUAAAAAGUUAUGAAACUUAACUUGUCAAAAUGGGAUCAACUAAAAGUUUUUCUGCUCUCCCCAGGCUGAUUGUUUAGGGAAACACUGAAGCUGUGCUAAUUAAGAACAGGUACCUCAGUGACUGAGCCCCCUUGGGAAAGUUGGAGGCAGGAUGGAAGGAGAGAGAGACAGAGACCCUCAGCUCCCACAGCACUGUCACUUCUGGAAUUUUUCAUAAGCAUCUCCCUGAGAUCAGUUUCCUUCUUCACCAUGAAUGGAGACAGCAGCAAGUUGCUCCAGCCCCUGGGCAGAUGGAGUUAUCCUUGGCUGAGCUCUGGAGAGCAUUAGAGAUGGCAGUGAAGCUUCUCCAUAAGAAAAUGCAUUCCAUGGAGGAGGAAGGAAAUGGAGA
rnacentral:lncRNA from 1 species